rnacentral:snRNA from 1 species
GUACUUGCUUCUGCAGCACAUAUACUAAAAUUGGAAUGAUAAAAAGAAGAUUAGCAUGACCCCUGCACAAGGAUGACACACAAAUUCCUGAACCAUUCCAUCUUUUA